GACGAACGCUGGCGGCGUGCCUAACACAUGCAAGUAGAACGCAGUUGCGAACGGGUGAGCAACGCGUAGGUAACCGCCCCAUUGCGGGGGAUAAACAUUGGAAACGAUAGCUAAUACCGCAUACUGUGAGAGGGACCUGCGUUGUAUUAGCUAGUUGGUGCGGUAAAGGCACACCAAGGCGACGGUACAUAGCCGACCUGAGAGGGUGAUCGACCACACUGGGAAUUAGGCCAGGCCCAGACUGCUACAGGAGGCUACAGUAGGGAGUCAUCGGCAAUGGACGGAAGUCUGGCCGAGCAACGCCGCGUGAGUGAAGAAGGUUUUCGGAUCGUAAAGGUAUGUUAAUAGAGAAGCGAUAACUAACCAGGAAGGGACGGCUAACUACGUGCCAGCCGCCGCGGUAAUUC
rnacentral:rRNA from 1 species